rnacentral:rRNA from 1 species
UACGGGGGGGGCAAGCGUUGUUCGGAAUUACUGGGCGUAAAGGGCUCGUAGGCGGCCAACUAAGUCCGACGUGAAAUCCCCAGGCUUAACCUGGGAACUGCGUCGGAUACUGGAUGGCUUGAAUUCGGGAGAGGGAUGCAGAAUUCCAGGUGUAGCGGUGAAAUGCGCAGAUAUCAGGAAGAACACCGAUGGCGAAAGCAGCUCUCUGGGACGGUACUGACGCUGAGGCGCGAAAGCGUGGGGAGCGAACAGG